rnacentral:lncRNA from 1 species
AGCAAGUAGCACAAGUCCUUAGGCAAUGUGGAAAUAGAGUUAAGUUGAUGCUUCUACUCAGAAAGGUGAAGAAAGUGAGACAUUUGAUGUAGAACUCACUAAAAAUGUCCAAGGAUUAGGAAUUACCAUUGCUGGCUACAUUGGAGAUAAAAAAUUGGAACCUUCAGGAAUCUUUGUAAAGAGCAUUACAAAAAGCAGUGCCGUUGAGCAUGAUGGAAGAAUCCAAAUUGGAGACCAAAUUAUAGCAGUAGAUGGCACAAACCUUCAGGGUUUUACUAAUCAGCAAGCAGUAGAGGUAUUGCGACAUACAGGACAAACUGUGCUCCUGACACUAAUGAGGAGAGGAAUGAAGCAGGAAGCCGAGCUCAUGUCAAGGGAAGACGUCACAAAAGAUGCAGAUUUGUCUCCUGUUAAUGCCAGCAUAAUC